ACCUUGAAAUGAAACCGAAAAAUAUUGAAACUAAAAAAAAAUUGAUAGUGAAAAACAAUUAAUUGAAACCGGAAUUUUUUUUGUUUUCGCUUACAAUUUUUUCUUUCAGUUUCGACCAUUUUUCGGUUUCAAACCAUUUUUCGGUUUCAAUCUGCUGGCACUGUUUUGGCGUCCGGGGGCGCGCUGGGGGGCCGGGGAUUCCGACCCGCAUGUAUUUGCAUAUAUUAUAAAGCUGACGAAUGACUGGAGAAAACACGGACGACGCGGCUGCGGUCACGGACAAACUUCCAUGAGUGUAUUCGGGAAUGGCAGAUGCUGAGAGGUCCAGCGUUUACAUUACCGACUAUUUCAAAGUGACAGCCUGAGGUGUUCUUCAGUAAAUUGGACUACCGGACAGGAGGACCUGAGGCCCCACCACAAUAUUUUCGGAUGCAGCAGCAGACUGAACCAGGACUGAAACCUGCUCCAUCAUCUCAUCUUUGCAGAUGUCCAUUUAUAAAGCAUCAACAACUCAAAGGAGCCGUCCUCAGAUUCAGACCUCAGCACCACCCAGUGACA